GUCUACAUGAGGCCCGGAGAGGGCCAGUGCGUCCAAGGUCAGCCACUGCCCAGACUUGCAUACUGAAUGAGGCUGUCGCUUUUGAGGACUGUCCUGCCCCUACCACCACAGACCUGGGGUGAAGUGGUGGGGGUGGGGGGCUCUGAGCCCUCCAGAGCCUGUAGAGGCCUGAUGACUGCACACCAGGCCCCUUAGCAGAUACAGGAGUAGGGGGAGGUGAUGCCUCUGUGCACCAGUACCCAGUGUGAAGAACUGGAAACGUAGUUAUCAUCCU
rnacentral:lncRNA from 1 species